CUACGGGUGGCACCAGUGGGGAAUAUUGCACAAUGGGCGCAAGCCUGAUGCAGCCAUGCCGCGUGUAUGAAGAAGGCCUUCGGGUUGUAAAGUACUUUCAGCGGGGAGGAAGGGAGUAAAGUUAAUACCUUUGCUCAUUGACGUUACCCGCAGAAGAAGCACCGGCUAACUCCGUGCCAGCAGCCGCGGUAAUACGGAGGGUGCAAGCGUUAAUCGGAAUUACUGGGCGUAAAGCGCACGCAGGCGGUUUGUUAAGUCAGAUGUGAAAUCCCCGGGCUCAACCUGGGAACUGCAUCUGAUACUGGCAAGCUUGAGUCUCGUAGAGGGGGGUGGAAUUCCAGGUGUAGCGGUGAGAUGCGUAGAGAUCUGGAGGAAUACCGGUGGCGAAGGCGGCCCCCUGGACGAAGACUGACGCUCAGGUGCGAAAGCGUGGGGAGCAAACAGGAUUAGAUACCCCAGUAGUC
rnacentral:rRNA from 1 species